rnacentral:rRNA from 1 species
UACGGAGGGGGCUAGCGUUGUUCGGAAUUACUGGGCGUAAAGCGCACGUAGGCGGCUUGGUAAGUUAGAGGUGAAAGCCUGGAGCUCAACUCCAGAAUUGCCUUUAAGACUGCCGAGCUAGCAGGUGAGAGAGGUGAGCGGAAUUCCGAGUGUAGAGGUGAAAUUCGUAGAUAUUCGGAAGAACACCAGUGGCGAAGGCGGCUCACUGGCUCAUACUGGACGCUGAGGUGCGAAAGCGUGGGGAGCAAACAGG